rnacentral:rRNA from 1 species
CCUACGUGCUGCAGCAGUGAGGAAUAUUGGUCAAUGGGCGCGAGCCUGAACCAGCCAAGUAGCGUGAAGGAUGACUGCCCUACGGGUUGUAAACUUCUUUUAUAAAGGAAUAAAGUGAGGCACGUGUGCCUUUUUGUAUGUACUUUAUGAAUAAGGAUCGGCUAACUCCGUGCCAGCAGCCGCGGUAAUACGGAGGAUCCGAGCGUUAUCCGGAUUUAUUGGGUUUAAAGGGAGCGUAGAUGGGUUGUUAAGUCAGUUGUGAAAGUUUGCGGCUCAACCGUAAAAUUGCAAUUGAUACUGGCAGUCUUGAGUACAGUUGAGGUAGGCGGAAUUCGUGGUGUAGCGGUGAAAUGCUUAGAUAUCACGAAGAACUCCGAUUGCGAAGGCAGCUUACUAAACUGCCACUGACAUUGAUGCUCGAAAGUGUGGGUAUCAAACAGGAUUAGAUACCCUAGUAGUC